UACGUAGGGUGCAAGCGUUGUCCGGAAUUAUUGGGCGUAAAGAGCUCGUAGGCGGCUUGUCGCGUCGGCUGUGAAAACCUGGGGCUCAACCCUGGGCCUGCAGCCGAUACGGGCAGGCUAGAGGUAGGUAGGGGAGAAUGGAAUUCCCGGUGUAGCGGUGAAAUGCGCAGAUAUCGGGAGGAACACCGGUGGCGAAGGCGGUUCUCUGGGCCUUACCUGACGCUGAGGAGCGAAAGCGUGGGGAGCGAACAGG
rnacentral:rRNA from 1 species